UAUGGAGAGUUUGAUCCUGGCUCAGGACGAACGCUGGCGGCGUGCCUAAUACAUGCAAGUCGAGCGGACGGAUGGGAGCUUGCUCCCUGAAGUCAGCGGCGGACGGGUGAGUAACACGUGGGCAACCUGCCUGUAAGACUGGGAUAACUUCGGGAAACCGGAGCUAAUACCGGAUAAUGCAUAACCUCUCAUGAGGCUAUGCUGAAAGAUGGUUUCGGCUAUCACUUACAGAUGGGCCCGCGGCGC
rnacentral:rRNA from 1 species